CGAACGCUGGCGGCGUGCUUAACACAUGCAAGUCGAACGGUGAAGCCCUUCGGGGUGGAUCAGUGGCGAACGGGUGAGUAACACGUGGGCAAUCUGCCCUGCACUCUGGGACAAGCCCUGGAAACGGGGUCUAAUACCGGAUAUGACCUGCCUCUGCAUGGGGGUGGGUGGAAAGCUCCGGCGGUGCAGGAUGGGCCCGCGGCCUAUCAGCUUGUUGGUGGGGUAAUGGCCUACCAAGGCGACGACGGGUAGCCGGCCUGAGAGGGCGACCGGCCACACUGGGACUGAGACACGGCCCAGACUCCUACGGGAGGCAGCAGUGGGGAAUAUUGCACAAUGGGCGAAAGCCUGAUGCAGCGACGCCGCGUGAGGGAUGACGGCCUUCGGGUUGUAAACCUCUUUCAGCAGGGAAGAAGCGAAAGUGACGGUACCUGCAG
rnacentral:rRNA from 5 species